GACGAACCGUGCGAACGUUGUUAGGAAUCACUGGGCUUAAAGGGCGCGUAGGCGGGCUGCCAAGUCCGGGGUGAAAUCCCACGGCUCAACCGUGGAACGGCCCGGGAUACUGGCGGCCUCGAGGGGGGUAGGGGCCCGCGGAACUAUGCGUGGAGCGGUGAAAUGCGUUGAUAUGCAUAGGAACUCCGGUGGCGAAGGCGGCGGGCUGGACCCCUUCUGACGCUGAGGCGCGAAAGCCAGGGGAGCGAACGGG
rnacentral:rRNA from 1 species